rnacentral:rRNA from 6 species
AAAUUGAAGAGUUUGAUCAUGGCUCAGAUUGAACGCUGGCGGCAGGCCUAACACAUGCAAGUCGAACGGUAACAGGAAGCAGCUUGCUGCUUUGCUGACGAGUGGCGGACGGGUGAGUAAUGUCUGGGAAACUGCCUGAUGGAGGGGGAUAACUACUGGAAACGGUGGCUAAUACCGCAUAACGUCGCAAGACCAAAGAGGGGGACCUUCGGGCCUCUUGCCAUCAGAUGUGCCCAGAUGGGAUUAGCUUGUUGGUGAGGUAACGGCUCACCAAGGCGACGAUCCCUAGCUGGUCUGAGAGGAUGACCAGCCACACUGGAACUGAGACACGGUCCAGACUCCUACGGGAGGCAGCAGUGGGGAAUAUUGCACAAUGGGCGCAAGCCUGAUGCAGCCAUGCCGCGUGUAUGAAGAAGGCCUUCGGGUUGUAAAGUACUUUCAGCGGGGAGGAAGGUGUUGUGGUUAAUAACCGCAGCAAUUGACGUUACCCGCAGAAGAAGCACCGGCUAACUCCGUGCCAGCAGCCGCGGUAAUACGGAGGGUGCAAGCGUUAAUCGGAAUUACUGGGCGUAAAGCGCACGCAGGCGGUCUGUCAAGUCGGAUGUGAAAUCCCCGGGCUCAACCUGGGAACUGCAUUCGAAACUGGCAGGCUUGAGUCUUGUAGAGGGGGGUAGAAUUCCAGGUGUAGCGGUGAAAUGCGUAGAGAUCUGGAGGAAUACCGGUGGCGAAGGCGGCCCCCUGGACAAAGACUGACGCUCAGGUGCGAAAGCGUGGGGAGCAAACAGGAUUAGAUACCCUGGUAGUCCACGCCGUAAACGAUGUCUACUUGGAGGUUGUGCCCUUGAGGCGUGGCUUCCGGAGCUAACGCGUUAAGUAGACCGCCUGGGGAGUACGGCCGCAAGGUUAAAACUCAAAUGAAUUGACGGGGGCCCGCACAAGCGGUGGAGCAUGUGGUUUAAUUCGAUGCAACGCGAAGAACCUUACCUGGUCUUGACAUCCACAGAAGAAUCCAGAGAUGGAUUUGUGCCUUCGGGAACUGUGAGACAGGUGCUGCAUGGCUGUCGUCAGCUCGUGUUGUGAAAUGUUGGGUUAAGUCCCGCAACGAGCGCAACCCUUAUCCUUUGUUGCCAGCGAUUAGGUCGGGAACUCAAAGGAGACUGCCAGUGAUAAACUGGAGGAAGGUGGGGAUGACGUCAAGUCAUCAUGGCCCUUACGACCAGGGCUACACACGUGCUACAAUGGCGCAUACAAAGAGAAGCGACCUCGCGAGAGCAAGCGGACCUCAUAAAGUGCGUCGUAGUCCGGAUUGGAGUCUGCAACUCGACUCCAUGAAGUCGGAAUCGCUAGUAAUCGUGGAUCAGAAUGCCACGGUGAAUACGUUCCCGGGCCUUGUACACACCGCCCGUCACACCAUGGGAGUGGGUUGCAAAAGAAGUAGGUAGCUUAACCUUCGGGAGGGCGCUUACCACUUUGUGAUUCAUGACUGGGGUGAAGUCGUAACAAGGUAACCGUAGGGGAACCUGCGGUUGGAUCACCUCCUUACCUUAAAGAA